AUGGUUCGAUGGACUGAGAUCUGUAAGCUACGCGAUCAGGAUGGUCUUGGGAUUAUGUCCUCCAAGCGGAUGAACAUUGCCCUCCUAACUAGGUGGCUUUGGCAGAUUACGAACAUUGAGGGUGGCCUAUGGCUUCGCAUCAUCCAGCAGAAAUACCUUCGAGGCCAACCGCUCGCCUUCUGCUAGCGGUCCGGCGGUUCCCAGUUCUGGCAAUCCAUCAUAUAG
rnacentral:rRNA from 1 species